AGCUUGGCUAACAAGCAAGAUCAGCAGGCAUUUGUGAAAGAGUUUAACGAGAGACUUUGAAAGAAAGGCCCAGAAAUCCAUUCCAGUACCUAUUUAGGACUACUGAAUAUGGAUGGUGAAAAAGUUGUUGCAGUCAUCUGCAACAGUUGUGGUACGUUUGUUUUCUUGUUAGAAUGUGUGGACGCCUCACUUGCAGCAGGUGCAAGUUGGUGCCCUCUUGGAAGAGAAGAUCUAGCAACUUGAGGCAUGUGUAUUUACUCUUCAGCACAUUAGGAAGCAUGAGGAUGUCUUGGACAGAAUGGAGCAGACUGUCCUGGAUAAGGAACAUGGAGGGAAUGUUUCAGAGGAGGAGGGAAGUUCCCAAACACAAGAGGCAGAUGUUUGUAAGAAUGCAACAUAUAGAAGUGGAGGGACCAGGAUCAUUCUGUGAGUUUACAGCUGCAAAACUGAUUUAAGUUCUCUCCCCUUUCAGUGAUAAUGAGGAUCAGGCACAGUCCUCAGGAAAUGUGCAGAUGACCUUGGAAGAUUCAGCACAUGGAAUGGCCCCUGCCAUUCCCCAGAAAAGAGACUAUGGUUGUGGUAGGGGACUCCCUACUGAGGGAAAUACAAACAAUGAUUUGCAGGCCUGGCAGGAGAGAUGUGUUUGCGGUAGGAGACUCCCUGCUGAGGAAUAGAAAUAAUGAUUUGCAGGCCUGAUAGGAUGUCUUUAAAAGUGUACUUUCUCCCUGGGGUGAGAAUCCAUGAUGUAACACAGAGGCUGACAAGACUCAUCAAGUUUACAGACUGCUGUCCCUUCCAUUCGGUCUAUAUGAGAAUUAAUGACACUGCACAACAUGAUGGUUGGGAGUUCCUUAAAAGUGAGAUAUUGAAGGCACAAUUUCAAACAGUUCCAGUGAGGAGGAAGAAACUAAAAAAAAACCAGGAUGGGUGUCUAAAGAAUUUUCCACAGAGCUAAGAUUUAAAAGGGA